rnacentral:tRNA from 1 species
GGUCCCGUGAUCUAGUGGUUAAAUAGAUGGACUCUGAAUCCCAUAGCCCCAGUUCAAAUCUCGGUGGAACCU